GUGGGGGAUAUUGCGCAAUGGGGGAAACCCUGACGCAGCAACGCCGCGUGAAGGAUGAAGGUCUUCGGAUUGUAAACUUCUUUUAUUAAGGACGAAGAAAGUGACGGUACUUAAUGAAUAAGCUCCGGCUAACUACGUGCCAGCAGCCGCGGUAAUACGUAGGGAGCAAGCGUUGUCCGGAUUUACUGGGUGUAAAGGGUGCGUAGGCGGCUUUGCAAGUCAGAUGUGAAAUCUAUGGGCUCAACCCAUAGCCUGCAUUUGAAACUGCAGAGCUUGAGUGAAGUAGAGGCAGGCGGAAUUCCCCGUGUAGCGGUGAAAUGCGUAGAGAUGGGGAGGAACACCAGUGGCGAAGGCGGCCUGCUGGGCUUUAACUGACGCUGAGGCACGAAAGCGUGGGUAGCAA
rnacentral:rRNA from 1 species